rnacentral:rRNA from 1 species
UACGGGGGGGGCAAGCGUUGUUCGGAAUUACUGGGCGUAAAGGGCUCGUAGGUGGCCAACUAAGUCAGACGUGAAAUCCCUCGGCUUAACCGGGGAACUGCGUCUGAUACUGGACGGCUUGAGUUUGGGAGAGGGAUGCGGAAUUCCAGGUGUAGCGGUGAAAUGCGUAGAUGUCUGGAGGAACACCGGUGGCGAAGGCGGCAUCCUGGACCAACACUGACACUGAGGAGCGAAAGCCAGGGGAGCAAACGGG